UGCAGUCGAGCGGAUGAGGGAGCUUGCUCCUGGAUUCAGCGGCGGACGGGUGAGUAAUGCCUAGGAAUCUGCCUGGUAGUGGGGGACAACGUUUCGAAAGGAACGCUAAUACCGCAUACGUCCUACGGGAGAAAGCAGGGGACCUUCGGGCCUUGCGCUAUCAGAUGAGCCUAGGUCGGAUUAGCUAGUUGGUGAGGUAAUGGCUCACCAAGGCGACGAUCCGUAACUGGUCUGAGAGGAUGAUCAGUCACACUGGAACUGAGACACGGUCCAGACUCCUACGGGAGGCAGCAGUGGGGAAUAUUGGACAAUGGGCGAAAGCCUGAUCCAGCCAUGCCGCGUGUGUGAAGAAGGUCUUCGGAUUGUAAAGCACUUUAAGUUGGGAGGAAGGGUUGUAGAUUAAUACUCUGCAAUUUUGACGUUACCGACAGAAUAAGCACCGGCUAACUCUGUGCCAGCAGCCGCGGUAAUACAGAGGGUGCAAGCGUUAAUCGGAAUUACUGGGCGUAAAGCGCGCGUAGGUGGUUCGUUAAGUUGGAUGUGAAAUCCCCGGGCUCAACCUGGGAACUGCAUCCAAAACUGGCGAGCUAGAGUAUGGUAGAGGGUGGUGGAAUUUCCUGUGUAGCGGUGAAAUGCGUAGAUAUAGGAAGGAACACCAGUGGCGAAGGCGACCACCUGGACUGAUACUGACACUGAGGUGCGAAAGCGUGGGGAGCAAACAGGAUUAGAUACCCUGGUAGUCCACGCCGUAAACGAUGUCAACUAGCCGUUGGGAGCCUUGAGCUCUUAGUGGCGCAGCUAACGCAUUAAGUUGACCGCCUGGGGAGUACGGCCGCAAGGUUAAAACUCAAAUGAAUUGACGGGGGCCCGCACAAGCGGUGGAGCAUGUGGUUUA
rnacentral:rRNA from 1 species